rnacentral:rRNA from 1 species
UACGGGGGGGGCAAGCGUUGUUCGGAAUUACUGGGCGUAAAGGGCUCGUAGGCGGCCAACUAAGUCGGACGUGAAAUCCCUCAGCUUAACUGGGGAACUGCGUCCGAUACUGGAUGGCUUGGAUUUGGGAGAGGGAUGCGGAAUUCCAGGUGUAGCGGUGAAAUGCGUAGAUAUCUGGAGGAACACCGGUGGCGAAGGCGGCAUCCUGGACCAACAUUGACGCUGAGGAGCGAAAGCUAGGGGAGCAAACGGG